CACACACACACACACACACACACACACACACCCACACUCGCAGCGACAUCCUCCCUACACCACCACCACCACCACCACAGUGUGGACGUGCAGAGUGGGGUCCUCCACUCCCAAGACCCAAACAAAGAAUUAUUUCCACGUCUGACCGGAACACGAUGACACCGGAUUCACCCAUGAAAACAAAACCUGCCUGCCAUCAGCAAGUCAGCCCGUCAGCAGCC